GAGCCUCUCCCUGCCCUACCUUGCCUCUUCCUUCCCCCCACAUCCCAUGCAGCCUGGGACCCCCCUGCCCUGUGCCUUCCACCUUAUGUCUAGGUGGGAGCCUGUGCCUCCCCCACCCUGUGUGCCCCCUUCCACUGUGCAGCCUGGGCUGCCUCCUCCCCUGUGUCCUUCCUCUCAGCCUGGGCCUUGUCAUGCUGUCUGAUCCAUGAGUGCAAACCUCAGGGAAGACUCUCAAGACACGGCAGAUACCCCAAACUAGUGCUCCUGGAAUCAAGUGGAUAGAUGAUGGUUUCUGCUGUCAUUUAUUAAAGAAAAAGUAUGAAAGCACAAUAAGCCACUGCAGAGAAGCAUGCAAAGGACUACAUUCCAGGGACCUUGGUUCAGUUCUUAUUGCCUGCAUUCAGUAACGAGAUCUACAACAAGUGGUGGAGA